GGAAAGGUGGCAGAGUGGUUAAAUGCACCGAUUUUGAAAAUCGGCGUGGCUGGGAAGUCACCGUGGGUUCGAAUCCCUCCCUUUCCG
rnacentral:tRNA from 1 species